rnacentral:rRNA from 1 species
UACGUAGGGGGCAAGCGUUAUCCGGAUUUACUGGGUGUAAAGGGAGCGUAGACGGCGAUGCAAGCCAGAUGUGAAAGCCCGGGGCUCAACCCCGGAACUGCAUUUGGAACUGUAUAGCUAGAGUGUCGGAGAGGCAGGCGGAAUUCCUAGUGUAGCGGUGAAAUGCGUAGAUAUUAGGAGGGACACCAGUGGCGAAGGCGGCCUGCUGGACGAUGACUGACGUUGAGACUCGAAAGCGUGGGGAGCAAACAGG